rnacentral:rRNA from 1 species
CCUACGGGAGGCUGCAGUGAGGAAUAUUGGUCAAUGGACGCGAGUCUGAACCAGCCAAGUCGCGUGAAGGAUGACUGCCCUAUGGGUUGUAAACUUCUUUUAUAUGGGAGUAAACUGUUCCACGUGUGGGAUUUUGUAUGUACCAUAUGAAUAAGGAACGGCCAACUCCGUGCCCGCAGCCGCGGUAAUACGGAGGGUCCGAGCGUUAGCCGGAUUUAUUGGGUUUAAAGGGAGCGUAGGGGGGUUGUUAAGUCAGUUGUGAAAGUUUGCGGCUCAACCGUAAAAGUGCAGUUGAAACUGGCAGUCGUGAGUACAGUAGAGGUGGGCGGAAUUCGUGGUGUAGCGGUGAAAUGCUUAGAUAUCACGAAGAACUCCGAUUGCGAAGGCAGCUCACUGGACUGCAACUGACACUGAGGCGCGAAAGUGUGGGGAUCAAACAGGAUUAGAUACCCGAGUAGUC